rnacentral:rRNA from 1 species
AUGGGGAAACCCAGCAUGAGUUAUGUCAUGUUAUCGAUAUGUGAAUACAUAGCAUAUCAGAAGGCACACCCGGAGAACUGAAACAUCUUAGUACCCGGAGGAAGAGAAAGAAAAUUCGAUUCCCUUAGUAGCGGCGAGCGAAACGGGAAGAGCCCAAACCAACAAGCUUGCUUGUUGGGGUUGUAGGACACUCUAUACGGAGUUACAAAGGACGACAUUAGACGAAUCAUCUGGAAAGAUGAAUCAAAGAAGGUAAUAAUCCUGUAGUCGAAAAUGUUGUCUCUCUUGAGUGGAUCCUGAGUACGACGGAGCACGUGAAAUUCCGUCGGAAUCUGGGAGGACCAUCUCCUAAGGCUAAAUACUCUCUAGUGACCGAUAGUGAACCAGUACCGUGAGG